UACGUAGGGGGCAAGCGUUGUCCGGAUUUAUUGGGCGUAAAGAGCGUGUAGGCGGCCUGACAGGUCUGCUGUGAAAACUCGAGGCUCAACCUCGAGAUGUCGGCGGAAACCGUCUGGCUAGAGUCCGGAAGAGGAGAGUGGAAUUCCUGGUGUAGCGGUGAAAUGCGCAGAUAUCGGGAGGAACACCUGUGGCGAAGGCGGCGACCUGGGCCAAUAUUGACGCUGAGGUGCGAAAGCGUGGGGAGCAAACAGG
rnacentral:rRNA from 1 species